rnacentral:ncRNA from 1 species
AUGCCCCGAGGAUAGAGAAUGUAGCGCUAUCACACCCUUAGGGUCAAAAGGAAUGCGGGACAGGCUACACCCGCCGGGGCAC